ensembl:lncRNA
AACGGGGCAGUCCUUUGAUGCAUUUAAUUGUCAGUUAAAUUAUCGAUUCUCACGCUGAUACAUACAUCGACGGGAGAGAGGUGUUCUAAUACGAGGUUAGGGCGUCUACGAAGAAGACAAUGGCCCUUUUACUUCGACAUAGGGUUGUGUGCCACGUGAAUCACUAGAUUAACGCUUUAACCGCUGAGGCUUGCAUUUCUUGCAAGGCAAUGAGAGCAGAAUGAAAGAAGCUUUAUGGAAAUACAUACGUUUUUUUAAUCUUUAGCCUGAGACACUCCUUUCUCUGUGGGAAUCCUGUUAGCAUUGAGCAGUAGUUGUCCUGGAAGAGCAGGAAUCAAAAGAGUAGCGAAGUUGUAGGCUUAUCUGCAAGCAGCAAUUAGGUGGCUGUAUUCACGUAUGAAGGAGAAGCUUUCAGUGGUGUCCAAUAUGUUGUACAGAAGCAUUAAGGUAAUAGUAAUUUUUUUCUCUAGGAGUAGCCCUGCAUGUAAAUGUUUCCAUUUCAGUUUCCACACUUCUGUCUGAUGAAAGUAUGGAAUGUGUAAUGUGCCAGAGAUUGUUGUCUUUGUAUGGCUUUUGAAUGGAACAAAACAGAAAAAUAGUUGCAGGACAUUGCGUUUUCAUGGUCACCUUCAAACUGUGAGUAAUUAUGUGAGCUAAGACCAGUGCUGAGGUCACAUGUUUUUAAUUAUCAUCUUUUCUGUACCACUUCAUUAAGUGUGAGGGCCUACAUGUUAGAUCAGUUGAUUAACUUGCACCACCCUUGAGAUCAGUGUAAUUUACUACAAGUUAACUGUCUUGUAUGGGGCAUGUAUUGGAGCUAAUGUGAACCCACAUAAAUGGCCAUAUUUGAAUUUAACUACUGAUUCUUUAAACUAUGGACAGUAGAAUACUAAAGUUAGAAGGAACGUACAAAUAUUAGUACUGACAUUGUGAAUAAAUGUGUAACGUAAAACAGAAGUUUAAAUGACUUGGUUCUUCAUCCUAGAAAAAUGAUCUAAAAUGAUUUCAGGCCACCUUUUUUCUACUGUAUAUAGAAUUUCAACUUGCAAGUUCUUGGCAGACAAUUGUAGACUAAUAUUGAUAUUUUUUUUUGUAUGAAAAGAAAUUUUAGUUCCUGCUUAUCACUUCCUGACAUGGUAUUGUGUGAGAUAAUGCUUAGACCAUUGUAACAGAUUUUUUACUUGAUCUCAUUUUUGCUUAAUUUUGAUUUUAGCCCAUCAUGGAAGCACCAUUGGAACUAGAGGAGUAUUUGGUACACACAAGUGGAUUUUCCUGAAAGCUGUGUAUGUUUUGAAUGAUCUGUGGGGAUAAAUUGACUUGUUAAAUGGCUUAGCAACAUACUUGUAAUCAAAUUAGAAAUGUUGUCAUUAGCUUUAAAAAUGAGAUGUUAGUGUAUUUCAGGCAUGUUAUUUGACAUGAUCCAUGUUGAAAUGUGUAGGCUAGGAGGGUGGGUGAAUAGUUUCAGUUAUUUCAAACUGCUUGUGAGGGAGCUGGUAAAAUAUGUCUAAGAUUUACAUCGUAAAUGUGACAGAUUACCUCAAGGUGACUUAUAAUUAUCUGUCAGUGUACACUUUAUCAGAAAAUUAGUGUAAGAGCUGAGGUGAAGAAAAUGAAGUUGACAGCUGGAAGUUCUUUGUCAGUAUAAACAGACAAAUCUAGUUCCAAGUUUCCUAUUAAAACGUAUUACUCAUUUUUUAAGAGUGUAGUCUGUAUUUUCUCUUUUUGGAAAUGCUAAGAAACGAUAUUAGGAUCUGUUCAAUUCAACACGUCAAACUCAAAUGCGUACAACCAGUGGCUGUGUCUGGAAAGGAAAAAUGGGGAGGAAGGGCGAUCCACAUGACUAAAACUUGGUCAUCCCAAGUGGGUUCUGUUACUGAAUGAACGUAUUCUAAUCGCUUUAUUCCUAUCUAGGAUGGUGUAUGAACAGUUUUUAAUAAUGGAAAAAAAGUUGAACAUUGUGAUGAAAGAUGUCCUGGCAACUGUACUACAACAGAUAGAGGGAUGCUUGAAGGCUGCUUCUUGAAGGUAUGACUUCAAUAAUGAUAGAAUCAAAUUGUAGAAAUGCAUGUCUGACUUGGGAUUAUAUUAUUGUGCCAUGGUAGGUAAAACAUUAAAAAGAUGAUAGAUUUGGUAGUUCUUUCAGGCCUUGAAAACUUGGCAAGCUAGGUUUGAAUGACUGUAUUUAAAACUGCAUUAUCAUGUCAGCCCCGUUCAAAAGUACGAGGUGACAUGUAAGCAAUUACUGCAGAUGGCAUAUCUGAAAUACAGUAGAGUUUAUGUGUAUGUGCAUCAUGGGAAAUGCUGAAAUUUUUCAUCAUCUAUAUUGGCCUUAAUGGUAGGUUUUAUCAGUUCCAGCUCGAAAUACCGUGCUUAAUUUUCAUGUUGCUUCAGGUGUCCUACGUAGAAUAGGUUUUUUAAUAUAAUGCAUGUUGGUAGAUUGGAGUUUUUAAUGUGUUGAUACAAGCUGAGAACCAUAUUCUCACUAUCGUUUUCAGAAAUUAAGCUUUUGAUUAUGGUAGAGGGAGACCUAGACUUAACAGAUUAGUUGUCUGUCACAGCUUAUAGCAAAGUUAAGUAGUGUCCAGGUAAGACAUGCAAAAAAAUCUUACUUUGAUGUGAGGACCCUUGUAGGUUAAGUUCUUUGGAGCUUAAUAAGUACUGGUGUUAUUCCACCACGUGCUUAGUAACGUAUGAUAGACCAAAUAGUAAGUUGUGUUUUGAGUGAUGGAAGAAAACAUUUCUGAGCUAAUAAAUGUCUCUUUUCCAG